GAUGAACGCUGGCGGCGUGCUUAACACAUGCAAGUCGAGCGAAGCACCUUGAUUUCUUCGGAAAGAUUGGUGACUGAGCGGCGGACGGGUGAGUAACGCGUGGGUAACCUGCCUCACACAGGGGGAUAACAGUUAGAAAUGACUGCUAAUACCGCAUAAGACAACAGCACCGCAUGGUGCAGGGGUAAAAACUCCGGUGGUGUGAGCUGGACCCGCGUCUGAUUAGCUAGUUGGUGAGGUAACGGCUCACCAAGGCAACGAUCAGUAGCCGACCUGAGAGGGUGACCGGCCACAUUGGGACUGAGACACGGCCCAAACUCCUACGGGAGGCAGCAGUGGGGAAUAUUGCACAAUGGGCGAAAGCCUGAUGCAGCGACGCCGCGUGAAGGAUGAAGUAUUUCGGUAUGUAAACUUCUAUCAGCAGGGAAGAAAAUGACGGUACCUGACUAAGAAGCCCCGGCUAACUACGUGCCAGCAGCCGCCGUAACAC
rnacentral:rRNA from 1 species